GACAGAGGAUGCAAGCGUUAUCCGGAAUGAUUGGGCGUAAAGCGUCUGUAGGUGGCUUUUAAGUCCGCCGUCAAAUCCCAGGGCUUCAACCCUGGACAGGCGGUGGAAACUACCAAGCUGGAGUACGGUAGGGGCAGAGGGAAUUUCCGGUGGAGCGGUGAAGUGCGUAGAUAUCGGGAAGAACACCAAAGGCGAAAGCACUUUGCUGGGCCGAAACUGACACUGAUGAGAACGAAAGCUAGGGGAGCAAAUGGG
rnacentral:rRNA from 1 species